CCAGGCUGGCUUCAAACUCACAGAGAUCAACUAUCUCUGUCCCCCGAGUGCCAGAAUUAAAGCACAUGGAUCUAGCUUAUAAGAGACCUUGGUCCUUCUGGCGUCUACAGUCUCCUGGAUGGAAAUUCAAGGUGAACUCAUGGAAUAAAUCCCAAGUAACACAAUGCUGCUGAAUAAGGUGCCUGUUGAUUCUGGAAACAUAGUAAAUGUAAAAACCUUUUUUGGGUUUACUUGGAAAGAAAUUAUACACAAAAUCUUUCUA